GCCCCAAGCUCAAUAAAAUAACCCGGGCCACUCCUUUUUUCUCCCUCAAGACCAAGAACGCACGUACAAAAAAAUGAUAACCAGUCCAUCAACAACAAUGACAACAACCUCAACCUCACGUAAAAUUUCCACCGGACAUUAACAACCAUAUCAGCGGCGACCCAUCUCCGACCCGUAACCAGCAACAAAGACCAUCUAAUCCGCUGAAACAAGUCCAAAACAGCCACUUCAACAUCAACAAUUCCAACCCACCAAUAAUCGAUGUCAACUCAAAAAAAAAAUUUCCAGCGAACCCGACCCAAAUCCGUGUAUGAACAUCCAGCUCACCACCAACCAUUUCAAGGUUGUACUAUUUCGUACGAUUACAUCUCAUCCCCUUAUCCCUUUUUUCAAAUUUUGAAUUCCCCUUUGAAAAAUUCUCAAAAUUGCCCUUUAAUUGAUCCUCCGUGGUUUAAGGCUGAGGAACGACCCUCAUUUUGUCUUCUAUAUAAGAAGCGUUGUUGAGCUAUGAGAGGGGAGAAAAAAAUUUCUUUCGGGUUUGGAAUUGGGGUUUGAAAAAUAAAGAACCCGAGAAAGAAAAAUUUCUGAGAGAGAGCAAAAACAAAAAGAAAACAGGGAGAAGAAGGGAAAAAAGGGCUCGGAGCACAAAUCAAUUUCCUUUAGUAAAAUUCUUUUCGGUAAUUCGUCAGCUAAUCGGAUUUUUGAGGUGACGACUACGGUGUUUUUCCGGUGGUUGUGAUUCCGACCGAAGCUCAAGUCCUGUUUUGCUGCUCUGAAAUAGGGAAUAGAGACACUUUCGCUUUUCCUAUGCAGUGAUAGGUGAUUCUUGGAUUAUUCGUGAGUCAACUUAAAGGCAUGAGCCUCCUUCUAGAACGCUUAUUACUUCUUGGUUUAGUUUAUGUCACAAAUUAUUUUCCCUAUUUUUUUUGCUAUUGUCGGGGGCAUGUCCCGACUUAGGUUGUUCUUUGGAUAUUAGAGGCUUUAUGAAUUACUGUGGAUUAGGAUGGAUGUUAAAGCUCUUAUAUUUUUUUCUGAGCUAGUUACCUGACUAUCUUGUUAUAUAUUCAAAAUUCAUUCACUGC